rnacentral:rRNA from 1 species
GGCAACCCUGACGGAGCAACGCCGCGUGGGGGAGGAAUGUCUGUGGAUUGUAAACCCCUUUUCUCAGGGAAGAAGCUCUGACGGUACCUGAGGAAUCAGCCUCGGCUAACUCCGUGCCAGCAGCCGCGGUAAUACGGAGGAGGCAAGCGUUAUCCGGAAUGAUUGGGCGUAAAGCGUCCGCAGGUGGCAAUGUAAGUCUGCUGUCAAAACCCAGGGCUCAACUCUGGUCAGGCAGUGGAAACUACAUAGCUAGAGUUCGGUAGGGGCAAAGGGAAUUCCCGGUGUAGCGGUGAAAUGCGUAGAGAUCGGGAAGAACAUCGGUGGCGAAAGCGCUUUGCUAGACCGAAACUGACACUCAGGGACGAAAGCUAGGGGAGCG